CCUACGGGCGGCUGCAGUGGGGAAUAUUGGACAAUGGGCGAAAGCCUGAUCCAGCCAUGCCGCGUGUGUGAAGAAGGCCUUCGGGUUGUAAAACACUUUCAGUGGGGAAGAAAGCCUUGGGGCUAAUACCCUCGAGGAAGGACAUCACCCACAGAAGAAGCACCGGCUAACUCCGUGCCAGCAGCCGCGGUAAUACGGAGGGUGCGAGCGUUAAUCGGAAUUACUGGGCGUAAAGCGCGCGUAGGCGGUCUGAUAAGCCGGUUGUGAAAGCCCCGGGCUCAACCUGGGAACGGCAUCCGGAACUGUCAGGCUAGAGUGCAGGAGAGGAAGGUAGAAUUCCCGGUGUAGCGGUGAAAUGCGUAGAGAUCGGGAGGAAUACCAGUGGCGAAGGCGGCCUUCUGGACUGACACUGACGCUGAGGUGCGAAAGCGUGGGUAGCAAACAGGAUUAGAUACCCCAGUAGUC
rnacentral:rRNA from 1 species